GCAGAGUAGGAGAUCAGGCGUUAAGUGUUUGGCAGACGGGGAGUUGCUGCCGAAACGAAGGGAAAUCCCGCGGUCUGAUUUCCGCAUCCCGCUGU
rnacentral:ncRNA from 1 species